UUAUUUUUAUUUCAGAAAACUUUAUGGGUCUCUCAUUCUUUCUCUCAAAUUUCUCUCUACUAUUUAUUACCUCUCUAACUCGUUGUUCCCAGUCAUUCAAGCAGAGACUAAGACUGAGUUAGAUCUUCUAUUUUUCUCCUUCUCCUUAGCUGUUUCUGGAACAAUGGUACUGCUUCCGUAAGGGCUUUCUCGGUGCAAGCUUUUUUUGUUCAGUUUCAAGGGGAGGAAUCAGCUAUUUUCGCCCAAGCUAGCAACCCUCGCCUAAGCAAAAAUAGCAGAAAACUCACUCAAGCUCUGCUCGAGUUAUCGCUCAGGUGAGGAGCUUCAGUUUUGAGCGAAGAGCAAUCUCGCUCAGGCGAGAAGGUCUCGCUUAAGCGAGAACUCGCAGAAGCUCACAAUGCUCACUGCUCGAGCUCUUGUCCAGGCAAGAAUACUUAGCUUAAGAGAGGGAACCUCUGUCGCUUAAGCGAAGACUUCUAGCUUGAGCGAAACUGGCGAGUGUCGUUCUGCAAUUCCUUAUCUUCGCAUCUUCAAGACGUGCACCAUUGCUCAAAGCCUGUGAAGAAUAAUAAGUGGUUUGUUCGAGUCCGACACACAUUUUUGGAUGUGAAAGAUUACUGGAUUGGACAAUUCACGACUCCUUUAUAUCCAAAACUGUGUGUCGAGCUCUAGAAUCCAGUGUGUAUUUCAUAUCUGAAAACACAUUAUGGAUUGUCUGAUCUCAUAUUUAUUUACUAUUUGUUUUUACUGCAAAUGACAUGACGGUCAAUGUACAAUAAUUUUUUUUUUAUAGUGUCUUUGAAUUUGCAGCGCAUGGUUGAUAAAGAUUCAGAUGGAAGAAUCUACAAGGAAGAAUCUGAAGAGAUAAAGUACAAAAUCAUACUUUUCAAGUUUGUUCAACAUACAAGAUGGAGAAGAAAAGUGGAGAAGAAAGGAGAAGAUGGAGGUGCAGGGAGAUGGGUGCAGGCGCGGCGUGGAGAGAAAGAGAAAAAUCAGGGUUUUUAAUGCUAGGGGUAAAAGAGGUUUUAUGAAAGUUAGGUGUGCAGAAAGAAAGAAGGAGGUGCAGCAAGAAAUAGCGUGAAAAUCAAUGUAAGAGCCCGGUAAUUACUUGCUAUGGGCUUGGGCCGUUUUACAUCCUGCACUCUACACUUUUCCUCGUACACCUUAUGUACUUUUAUUUUAAUUUUGCUUUUUCUUUAACACACAUGAAAUUGUCAACAUAUUUUGUAGAGUA